rnacentral:rRNA from 1 species
AUUGAACGCUGGCGGCAUGCUUUACACAUGCAAGUCGAACGGUAACAGGCCGCAAGGUGCUGACGAGUGGCGAACGGGUGAGUAAUGCAUCGGAACGUGCCCAGUCGUGGGGGAUAACGCAGCGAAAGCUGUGCUAAUACCGCAUACGAUCUGUGGAUGAAAGCGGGGGACCUUCGGGCCUCGCGCGAUUGGAGCGGCCGAAGUCAGAUUAGGUAGUCGGUGGGGUAAAGGCUCACCAAGCCGACGAUCUGUAGCUGGUCUGAGAGGACGACCAGCCACACUGGGACUGAGACACGGCCCAGACUCCUACGGGAGGCAGCAGUGGGGAAUUUUGGACAAUGGGCGCAAGCCUGAUCCAGCAAUGCCGCGUGCAGGAAGAAGGCCUUCGGGUUGUAAACUGCUUUUGUACGGAGCGAAAAGGCUCCCUCUAAUACAGGGGGCUCAUGACGGUACCGUAAGAAUAAGCACCGGCUAACUACGUGCCAGCCGCCGCGGUAAUAC